CCUACGGGUGACAGCAGUGGGGAAUAUUGCACAAUGGGGGAAACCCUGAUGCAGCGAAGCCGCGUGAGUGAAGAAGGAAUUAGUUAUGUAAAGCUCUAUCAGCAGGGAAGAAAAUGCCGGUACCUGAGUAAGAAGCCCCGGCUAACUACGUGCCAGAAGCCGCGGUAAUACGUAGGGGGCAAGCGUGAUUCGGAAUUAGUGGGGUUAAAGGGAGCGUAGACGGCAGUGUAGGUCUGGAGGUAAAGGCGUGGGCUCCACCCCCGGCCUGCCCUGGAAACGGGAAGGCUGGAGGGGACGAGAGGUAAGCGGAAUUCGCGGUGUAGCGGUGAAAUGCGUAGAUAUCACGAGGAACACCAGUUGCGAAGGCGGCUUACCGGA
rnacentral:rRNA from 1 species